rnacentral:rRNA from 1 species
AUUGAACGCUGGCGGCAUGCCUUACACAUGCAAGUCGAACGGUAACAGGUCUUCGGAUGCUGACGAGUGGCGAACGGGUGAGUAAUACAUCGGAACGUGCCCGAUCGCGGGGGAUAACGAAGCGAAAGCUUUGCUAAUACCGCAUACGAUCUACGGAUGAACGCAGGGGACCGCAAGGCCUUGUGCGAACGGAGCGGCCGAUGGCAGAUUAGGUAGUUGGUGGGGUAAAAGCUUACCAAGCCGACGAUCUGUAGCUGGUCUGAGAGGACGACCAGCCACACUGGGACUGAGACACGGCCCAGACUCCUACGGGAGGCAGCAGUGGGGAAUUUUGGACAAUGGGCGAAAGCCUGAUCCAGCCAUGCCGCGUGCAGGAUGAAGGCCUUCGGGUUGUAAACUGCUUUUGUACGGAACGAAAAGACUCUGGUUAAUACCUGGGGUCCAUGACGGUACCGUAAGAAUAAGCACCGGCUAACUACGUGCCAGCCGCCGCCGUAAAAC